rnacentral:rRNA from 1 species
CUACGGGAGGCUGCAGUGGGGAAUAUUGGACAAUGGGGGAAACCCUGAUCCAGCAAUACCGCGUGUGUGAAGAAGGUCUUAGGAUUGUAAAACACUUUCGUUGGGGAAGAUAAUGACGGUACCCAAAUAAGAAGCCCCGGCUAACUUCGUGCCAGCAGCCGCGGUAAUACGAAGGGGGCAAGCGUUGCUCGGAAUAACUGGGCGUAAAGGGCGCGUAGGCGGUUAAAAUAGUUAGAUGUGAAAUCCCUGAGCUUAACUUAGGAACUGCAUUUAAUACGUUUUAACUAGAGUACAAGAGAGGAUUAUGGAAUUUCCAGUGUAGAGGUGAAAUUCGUAGAUAUUGGAAAGAACACCAGUUGCGAAGGCGAUAAUCUGGCUUGAUACUGACGCUGAGGCGCGAAAGCGUGGGGAGCAAACAGGAUUAGAUACCCCUGUAGUC